UACGGGGGGGCAAGCGUUGUUCGGAAUUACUGGGCGUAAAGGGCUCGUAGGCGGCCAACUAAGUCAGACGUGAAAUCCCUCGGCUUAACCGGGGAACUGCGUCUGAUACUGGAUGGCUUGAGUUUGGGAGAGGGAUGCGGAAUUCCAGGUGUAGCGGUGAAAUGCGUAGAUAUCUGGAGGAACACCGGUGGCGAAGGCGGCAUCCUGGACCAACACUGACGCUGAGUGAGCGAAAGCCAGGGGAGCAAAACGGG
rnacentral:rRNA from 1 species